rnacentral:lncRNA from 1 species
AUUUAUUUAAAAGGGACAAGGAGCCAAGCUAUUACCUAUUUUUAGGGUAAGAAAUAUGGAGCUUAAUAAAGUUUAUGUCUUUUCUCUAAGUUAUGCUUCAAAGCCAAGUCAGUACUUAAACCCAGGUCAGACUUUCUCCAAAAUGUUUGUUUCUUCUUAAAAAGUUAUCUAGGGAAUAAAUAUGCCAAUUGGCAGAACAUAGGGUACCAAACUUCCCGUAAAUACUUUGAUUCACUAAAUCUGUCUAAAACCCAGGAGAACUUCUACAAUAUUGACUAUUAGUAGCAACAUGUACAACUAUUAGCUCAAUUUUGUAUAUGAGGAAAUGACACGAUCACAUAGUCAAAGGACACACUGUGACUUCUCAGCUUGAAGUUUUUUCAUGAUUCUAGGUAAUCUUCCAAUAAAUGUGAUGCAAUUCCUGUAUCUCCACAGCCCCUUCUUUACUUGGUUAGUGAUUGCCUCCUCAUCUCAAAGGGACUAAGCAAACAUCACUUACAUGAUGUAGUUUUGCUCAAACACUGACUCCACACAAAAUAUGUUUUACUUAUUUGCGUAUUUUUGGCAUAUAGUAAUUCUAUGAUAAGCUGUUUAGGUUAAAAAUGAUUCCGUAAUUUCAAUGUUGUGUAUUUAAAGUUCACAUUUCUUUUUUCUUAUUUUUAUUUAUUUUGUGGCAAAAUCUUUCUUAGUCACAGCUUUCAAAAUCAGAUUAAGGCUGUUAUUUCCCUUUAAACAUUGCUAACAUUUUAUUCAGGGAUAUUUUCCCUUAGUGAGAAACAGUAGAAAUUGGCAUCAUACCAAGUAGGCUGAUUCAGCAAGAAUGCACCUGGCAAACAACCGAUUUUGUUUUAUACUUUUGGGUUUUCUGUUAUAAAAAGCUAUAAUGGGUCACAGUAACUGGGGACAAAAUGCCCAUGCAAAUUAGGUUUUAUUUCCUUACUGUCUUUACCACCUAUGUUGAUUCUUUUGUUCAUAGAGAAGCCUUACAUAUUUCUUGGCCAUGUAUGUCAUGUCACAUACAAAUGGAGAAGCAC